CCCUCCUUCUCUUCCUCCUCCCCCAGCUCACCUCACCCCUCCCUCUCACCCCACGAAUCAGACCACUUCCUUAGCGGUUCUGGGAGGUCGGCUCACUGUUAAAAGCGAGCAAGCCGUAGUGUCCGCUUCCGCUCCUACACCCGCUGGCGUUUUGAGCCCUCGGUGUCACAGGCUGGCUGUGCCUCGGCAGCCCGUCACACAGCCUUUUGACCUUGAAUAACUUGAAGUGGCUCCCUGGGUGUGCUUUGUCUCCAUCUUCUCUGCAUCCACCUCCUGGUUGAAUGCCUGCUCCUUUCUACUUGUUGUCACCUUGGACUGGAAGUCUGUCCUCUCCUACGACAGUGCAGUUGAGCAAAAGAGGUUAACCUGUGUAAUGAAAGGUUCUCCAAAUUAGUCCACCGCGAAGCCCUUCCAUUGUCAGGAAUGAAAGACAUCACUGAGUGAGUAGCACUGUGGACCUGGGCUCGCGCAGAACUAGGCUAGAAUCUGGGGUCCGUGUUCCACCAGCAACAGCCUCACCUCCUUGUGUCUUUCCUUAUGAAACAAGAUCUCAGCAGGGGACAUAAAAAGUAAGAGAAAACAUGGGAUCAUUUUGCUUGGCACCUGGUGUGUAUAGACUCAAAAAUGCCAUAUGUUUAUUAGUUAUCAUUCUUAUUAUUUAUUUUUAUCGAGGUGCAAUUCCUGUUGAACGUUAUAUUAGUUUCAGGUGUACGAUGUGAUGAUUCCAUAUUUGCACACACCACGAAGUGAGCACCACAAUAAAUGUGAUGAACACCUGUGA